rnacentral:siRNA from 1 species
CCAUUCUAUAAUAUUUCGGUGUA